AGCAGCCGCGGUAAUUCCAGCUCCAAUAGCGUAUAUUAAAGUUGUUGCAGUUAAAAAGCUCGUAGUUGAAUUUCGGGAUCAGUAUGUUGGUCGUGCUUCGGUACGUACUGUCAUUACUGGUUUCUACCUUCUGAAGAACCAUGAUGUCAUUAAUUUGGUGUCUUGGGGAAUCAGGACUGUUACUUUGAAAAAAUUAGAGUGUUUAAAGCAGGCUCGCGCUUGAAUACAUUAGCAUGGAAUAAUGAAAUAGGACGUUUGAUUCUAUUUUGUUGGUUUUUAGGAUCGACGUAAUGAUUAAUAGGGAUAGUUGGGGGCAUUAGUAUUCAAUUGUCAGAGGUGAAAUUCUUGGAUUUAUUGAAGACUAACUACUGCGAAAGCAUUUGCCAAGGAUGUUUUCAUUAAUCAAGAACGAAAGUUAGGGGAUCGAAGACGAUCAGAUACCGUCGUAGUCUUAACCAUAAACUAUGCCGACUAGGGAUCGGAUGAUGUUAUUUUUAAUGACCCAUUCGGCGCCUUACGG
rnacentral:sRNA from 1 species